AGGGGAGGAGGUUUGCCCAAGUCUUGUAUUUAGCACAAAUUCUUUAUUGCAAAUCAACGUGGGACAACACACCUCCUUAAUGUCUAAGCAUAAACAUCUGGAGUAUGAAAUAUGCAGGCAAACACAUCUGCGAGUGAUCUAACAUUGAAGCAGGAUAGGCUUUGAUACCAUGUUAAGUUUUAGAAAGAGACAAUAAGAAGAAAAAGAUGAAGAAAGGAAGAAAAGAACAUAAAGGCUAUUAUGACUACAUUUUUUCAUUUACUUCACACAUUUUACAUAACACAUAAGCUUUUAUAAUUGAAUAUAGAAGAUAUAAAUCCAUAUAUUAUUCCUAAAAUCCCUUGAAUUACGGAGAUAAAUCAUUCCCUAACUUAUCUUAAAAUCCCUUA
rnacentral:misc_RNA from 1 species